CAACCCUUAAGCCUAGCUUAGUGUUGGGAAUCUAUGUGUGGCCCACGUUACCCUGUAGCGUGGUUACCCUGUAGUUCCUGAAAAUCAACGGCGGAUUUAUAGUAUCCUCUGAGCGUAGUAAUUUUUUAUCUCGCUUCUGUUUAGGUGCUGUAGAUUCUGCCGCUAAACCCCCAAUUUUUUGU
rnacentral:misc_RNA from 2 species